rnacentral:rRNA from 1 species
AGUAACGGCGAGUGAAGCGGCAACAGCUCUAAUUUGAAAUCUGGCCCUCGGGUCCGUAUUGUAAUUUGUAGAGGAUGGUUUUGGUGAGGUACCUUCCGAGUUGCCUGGAACGGGACGCCAUAGAGGGUGAGAGCCCCGUCUGGUUGGAUUCCGAUCCUCUGUAAAGCUCCUUCGACGAGUCGAGUUGUUUGGGA